GAUGAAGAACGUAGCGAAAUGCGAUAAGUAAUGUGAAUUGCAGAAUUCAGUGAAUCAUCGAAUCUUUGAACGCACAUUGCGCCCGCCAGUAUUCUGGCGGGCAUGCCUGUUCGAGCGUCAUUUCAACCAUCAAGCCCCCGGCUUGUGUUGGGGACCUGCGGCUGCCGCAGGCCCUGAAAAGCAGUGGCGGGCUCGCUGUCACACCGAGCGUAGUAGCAUACAUCUCGCUCUGGGCGUGCUGCGGGUUCCGGCCGUUAAACCACCUUCAUAACCCAAGGUUGACCUCGGAUCAGGUAGGGAGACCCGCUGAACUUAAGCAUAUCAAUAAGCGGAGGA
rnacentral:misc_RNA from 1 species